GGCUGAUCUGAAGAUGAUGAGUUAUCUCAAUUGAUUGUUCAGUUACAGAUCCAACUCCUUGCUCUAUUCUUUCCUCUCUUCUCACUACUGUACUUGGCUAGGAAA
ensembl:Y_RNA Y_RNA Y RNA